rnacentral:rRNA from 1 species
CGUAGGUAACCUGCCUGGUAGCGGGGGAUAACUAUUGGAAACGAUAGCUAAUACCGCAUAAAAUUGAUUAUUGCAUGAUAAUUAAUUGAAAGAUGCAAUUGCAUCACUACCAGAUGGACCUGCGUUGUAUUAGCUAGUUGGUGAGGUAACGACUCACCAAGGAGACGAUACAUAGCCGACCUGAGAGGGUGAUCGGCCACACUGGGACUGAGACACGGCCCAG